UACGUAGGGGGCAAGCGUUGUCCGGAUUUAUUGGGCGUAAAGAGCUCGUAGGUGGUUCGGUAAGUCGGAUGUGAAAUCUCCAGGCUCAACCUGGAGGGGUCAUUCGAUACUGCCGUGACUAGAGGUCGGUAGGGGAGUGUGGAAUUCCUGGUGGAGCGGUGAAAUGCGCAGAUAUCAGGAGGAACACCCGUAGCGAAGGCGGCACUCUGGGCCGAUACUGACACUGGGGAGCGAAAGCGUGGGGAGCGAACAGG
rnacentral:rRNA from 1 species